CCUUCUUAUUUGCCUAUCUGGCACGUCUUGUUUGCCCAUAUUGCACACUUGUUUGCCCAUCUGGCCUUUUUUUUCUUGCCCAUCUGGCACUUUUUUCUUGCCCAUCUGGCACGUUCACCUCCAUUUGAUUUCACCGGAAAAAUAGAGAACACAACUUCCCCCCGUAACUCUCUCGACUUAAAAAAUCAUUGCUUUUUAAGCAAAAAUAUCUCUCACAAACACGUUCACCUCUAUAUCAUUUCCUGCCUUCAGUAAGCUUCUCCGGCAUCGCCUCACCUUUCACGGCAGCUCCUACUACACAUGCAUCCCAUACUACACAUGCAGCUUUGCCACCAUGCUUUUGCAACGCCUACCUGUAACUAUCUCGUCACACACUUAUUCUGCGGCUCCACCACCACCUGGCGGCGGAACAACGAAACCUGGCUCUGAUACCAUGUAGAAAUAAACUAUAAAACUGAUGACUUCAAAUUAAACAAGAUGAAUAUAUAUGUACAAGAGCAACUGAACUCCAAAGACUACAUUGUAUUUCUCCUGAUAUAUUAAAAGAGAUACAUCACAUAAUAUAUAAAGGCUACCCAACAAAGUGAUAGCAACUAACUAGUGUCCACCUGAACCUAAACUCUACUACUCCAUGAUCCUAAAAACACUCAUUACUAAUCCAAUACUCUCCCACAAUUUCUCUAACUUAUCCUCUACUAAUAAAACAAUUAGUGAUUAUACUAAUUUAUUUAUUUCAAGUUUAGAUUAUUAGAAUAUAAUUCCAACAAUCUCCCCCUUAAUCUAAACUUAGCUUCUAUGCCCGUCUGGCAAGUUCUUCGGUGCCCAUCUGACUUUCUUUAUUGGCCCGUAUGACCUUUUGAACUGAGCCCGUAUGGCUAUUUUGUUUUGCCCGUCUGGCUACGUCUUCAUCUGCCCGUAUGGCUUUCAAUUUAGCCCGUAUGGCUUUCAACCCAUUUGGUUUUCAACUUAGCCCGUAUGACCCUUCUUAUUUGCCUAUCUGGCACGUCUUGUUUGCCCAUAUUGCACACUUGUUUGCCCAUCUGGCCUUUUUUUUCUUGCCCAUUUGGCACUUUUUUCUUGCCCAUCUGGCACGUUCACCUCCAUUUGAUUUCACCGGAAAAAUAGAGAACACAACUUCCCCCCGUAACUCUCUCGACUUCAAAAAUCAUUGCUUUUCAAGCAAAAAUAUCUCUCACAAACACGUUCACCUCUAUAUCAUUUUCUGCCUUCAGUAAGCUUCUCUGGCAUCGCCUCACCUUUCACGGCAGCUCCUACUACACAUGCAUCCCAUACUACACAUGCAGCUUUGCCACCAUGCUUUUGCAACGCCUACCUGUAACUAUCUCGUCACACACUUAUUCUGCGGCUCCACCACCACCUGGCGGCGGAACAACAAAACCUUGCUCUGAUACCAUGUAGAAAUAAACUAUAAAACUGAUGACUUCAAAUUAAACAAGAUGAAUAUAUAUGUACAAGAGCAACUGAACUCCAAAGACUACAUUGUAUUUCUCCUGAUAUAUUAAAAGAGAUACAUCACAUAAUAUAUACAUAAAGGCUACCCAAAAAAGUGAUAGCAACUAACAAGUGUCCACCUGAAACUAAACUCUACUACUCCAUGAUCCUAAAAACACUCAUUACUAAUCCAAUACUAAUCCAAUACUCUCCCACAAUUUCUCUAACUUAUCCUCUACUAAUAAAACAAUUAGUGAUUAUACUAAUUUAUUUAUUUCAAGUUUAGAUUAUUAGAAUAUAAUUCCAACAAUCUCCCCCUUAAUCUAAACUUAGCUUCUAUGCCCGUCUGGCAAGUUCUUCGGUGCCCAUCUGACUUUCUUUAUUGGCCCGUAUGACCUUUUGAACUGAGCCCGUAUGGCUAUUUUGUUUUGCUCGUCUGGCUACGUCUUCAUCCGUAUGGCUUUCAAUUUAGCCUGUAUGGCUUUCAACCCAUUUGGUUUUCAACAUAGCCCGUAUGACCCUUCUUAUUUGCCUAUCUGGCACGUCUUGUUUGCCCAUAUUACACACUUGUUUGCACAUCUGGCCUUUUUUUUCUUGCCCAUUUGGCACUUUUUUCUUGCACAUCUGGCACGUUCACCUCCGUUUGAUUUCACCGGAAAAAUAGAGAACACAACUUCCCCCGUAACUCUCUCGACUUCAAAAAUCAUUGCUUUUUAAGCAAAAAUAUCUCUCACAAACACGUUCACCUCUAUAUCAUUUUCUGCCUUCAGUAAGCUUCUCCGGCAUCGCCUCACCUUUCACGGCAGCUCCUACUACACAUGCAUCCCAUACUACACAUGCAGCUUUGCCACCAUGCUUUUGCAACGCCUACCUGUAACUAUCUCGUCACACACUUAUUCUGUGGCUCCACCACCACCUGGCGGCGGAACAACAAAACCUGGCUCUGAUACCAUGUAGAAAUAAACUAUAAAACUGAUGACUUCAAAUUAAACAAGAUGAAUAUAUAUGUACAAGAGCAAAUGAACUCCAAAGACUACAUUGUAUUUCUCCUGAUAUAUUAAAAGAGAUACAU
rnacentral:lncRNA from 1 species